rnacentral:siRNA from 1 species
AGAGCCAGCAGGAUGCCACGUGGC